UACGAAGGAGGCAAGCGCUGUUCGGAUUUACUGGGCGUACAGGGAGCGUAGGCGGUUGGGUAAGCCCUCCGUGAAAUCUCCGGGCCUAACCCGGAAAGUGCGGAGGGGACUGCUCGGCUAGAGGAUGGGAGAGGAGCGCGGAAUUCCCGGUGUAGCGGUGAAAUGCGUAGAGAUCGGGAGGAAGGCCGGGGGCGAAGGCGGCGCUCUGGAACAUUUCUGACGCUGAGGCUCGAAAGCGUGGGGAGCAAACAGG
rnacentral:rRNA from 1 species